CUAAGUCUUCUAUUGCUCUUCCUAGGCCUUUUUGCUUGCCUGUAAUGAUCACCCACCCAUUUCCAUCUGUGAUACCUACAGCUCUGAAAAAGAUUCUAAGAACCAAGUCCAACACUCUCUGUUCUCAAUCUCCACUACACCAAAUGCUAUUGGGAAUAUGCCAUUGUUGGCAUUGAUCCCAACAACAGUUCAUGAAUUGGCACUCACUGCAACUCCCACACUUGCUGUAACUGGCAUGCUGGAUCCUUCUCAAUAGGAAUGAGAGGAGUUCCUUGGAUUGUGAUGUCUGAGAUAUUCGCUAUAAAUAUUGAAGGGCAGGCUAGAAGCUUUGCAACUUUAGUGAACUGGCUUGGUGCAUGGUUGUGUUCCUACACUUUCAACUUUCUUAUGAGUUGGAGCUCCUAUGGUACCUUCAUUCUGUAUGCAGCCAUCAAUGCUCUGGCUAUAUUGUUCGUGAUCUUGAUGGUACCGGAAACAAAAGGGAAAACCCUGGAACAAAUCCAAGGAGACAUUAAUAAAUAGAGAAGUGAAGGAAGAAUUAAAAAAGAAAAGAAAUGAAGAGCAUUUUUUGUGGUCAUUCGUUGUCGUUGAAAAUUUUGACAGCACAGUGCAGCAGAUUGGUUGAUGGAAUCUUUAGAGUGGCUUCCAAACCACAAAAAUAUUGUACUGCUACUGUUUACCCCACAAAAACAUUGUCCCUACUUCGUUGCAAUGACUGUUUGGCAUUGAUUGGUUUAU